rnacentral:lncRNA from 1 species
GUGCUCCUUGCCCGGGGGUCUCUCCCCCCCUACCUAGUCUCUCCUAGUCUGGCUGGGUAGGAUCUGGUUCCCCUUAUGAACACACGGUUCACUUUGGCAGCGUGCAUGUAUCUCCAGCCCCACGUGCACGUGCACACUGCCACACUGCUCCCUGUCUGCUUCAUCCCCCCUCCUAAUCCACAGUGUAUUGAUGGACAGAUGUCUUCCGCUCAUCUUCGUGUCAGAAUUUCACCUUUGGAUGUAAUAUUUGUCUUUUCAGCAGAUCUGGUAUAAUUGUUACACAGCUUAAAAUAAUAACUUAUUCAAAUCAGCGCUUGUAUCCCCCACUCUCUCCACCUUUCUUCCUUUUAUUCUCUUCCAACCCCCCUCUCACAUUCUUCCCCUCUUUCUCCCCACACACACUAAAUGUAACAAACAAAUAAAAAAAAUGAAACCAACUUUUUUUAGCUUUUAGGUGUAUUGUAAUGUUAUGUCCUCACAAAAAGAUCCCCAAAGUGGUAUUUUAAUCCGUUCAUGCGUUUCUGAGUAUUCCUCUAAAAACUCCCACCCCCUCCCAAUCCACGAACAAGUGGUUCAUCACAUUGUGACAUCACAAAGUGAGGAACAGCCCCUUCCAGGAAGAGCCCCCAGGCUAACACACAUGCCCACUUUUUCCCUAGAGCUAACGGUGAUCGGCUAAACGUUUUCACUUAUAUGCACAAUUUUCACAUCCAUCUUUGUAAAAAUUCGGGCGUUUGUUUUCAUAGGCGAACCACAAACACGCUGCCGAGGCCGGCUCUAGGUUGACGCCAUGAAAAUAGGCGGCACCCUCAGAGAUCAAGUCAUCUUACUUCCAGUUUCUGCUGUUUCACCUGGGGAGGCUGGAUUCUGGAUGAAGACCGGAAAGAACACCUGCAGAAGAACCGCACUUCUGACAUGUGAAGUUGUGGAAAGUUCCUGGACUUGGACUGCUGCUCUGUGUGUGUUUUGGACGGUUUGCACUGCGGCAGACUGUGUUUCUGCAGUUUGACCUUCUGAUCUUUAAAUGAGGAAGAAACGCGCGAGGAUGUCCGGACGAGGCGCAUCUGAGACACAGGAACAAGAAAUCUGGUUUGGAAGAAAAGAGAAACGAAGGUGAGAGUGGAGAAAGCCCGGGAGGGAGGGUGAGAG